ACGGAAGGCAGCAGUGGGGAAUAUUGCACAAUGGGGGAAACCCUGAUGCAGCGACGCCGCGUGAGUGAAGAAGUAUUUCGGUAUGUAAAGCUCUAUCAGCAGGGAAGAAAAUGACGGUACCUGACUAAGAAGCCCCGGCUAACUACGUGCCAGCAGCCGCGGUAAUACGUAGGGGGCAAGCGUUAUCCGGAUUUACUGGGUGUAAAGGGAGCGUAGACGGCGAUGCAAGUCUGAAGUGAAAGCCCGUGGCUUAACUGCGGAACUGCUUUGGAAACUGUAUUGCUAGAGUGUCGGAGAGGUGAGUGGAAUUCCCAGUGUAGCGGUGAAAUGCGUAGAUAUUGGGAGGAACACCGGCGGCGAAGGCGGCUCACUGGACGAUAACUGACGUUGAGGCUCGAAAGCGUGGGGAGCAAACAGGAUUAGAUACCCUGGUA
rnacentral:rRNA from 1 species